rnacentral:rRNA from 1 species
GAUGAACGCUGGCGGCGUGCCUAAUACAUGCAAGUCGAGCGAACAGACGAGGAGCUUGCUCCUCUGACGUUAGCGGCGGACGGGUGAGUAACACGUGGAUAACCUACCUAUAAGACUGGGAUAACUUCGGGAAACCGGAGCUAUUACCGGAUAAAAUUUUAAACCGAAGGGUCCAAUAGUGAAAGACGGUUUUGCUGUCACUUAUGGUUGGUCCCCCGCCGAAUUAGCUAGUUGGGAAGUGAAGGGCUUACAAGGGCGCCGAUCCGUAGCCGACCUGGGAGGGGGACCGGCCCACCGGGAACGGGGCCACGGCCCAACCCCCCAGGGGGGGCAGAGGUGGGGAAUCUUCCGAAAUGGGGGAAACCCUGACGGAACAACGCCGGGGGGGUGAUGAAGGUUUUGGGAUGGUAAAACCCUUUUUUUAGGAAAAAAAAAAUGUGAAAGUAACUUUGCACGUUUUGACGGUACCAAAUCAAAAAGCCACGGCUAACUACGU